rnacentral:rRNA from 1 species
AUUGAACGCUGGCGGCAGGCUUAACACAUGCAAGUCGAACGAGUGGCGGACGGGUGAGUAAUGCUUGGGAAUCUGGCUUAUGGAGGGGGAUAACGACGGGAAACUGUCGCUAAUACCGCGUACCAUAGCAUGAGCCCAAUUCGGAUUAGGUAGUGGGUGGGGUAUUGGCCUACCCAGCAGACGAGCUCUACCUGGUCUGUGAGGAUGACCGGCAACAUGGGGACUGAGACACGGCCCGGACUCCUACGGUAGGCAGCAGUGGGGAAUAUUGGGCAAUGGGGGAAACCUGACGCAUCAAUGCCGCGUGAAUGAAGAAGGCCUUCGGAUUGUAAAGUUCUUUCGGUGACGAGGCGUUAAUCACAGAAGAAGCACCGGCUAACUCCGUGCCAGCAGCCGCGGUAAUAC